rnacentral:rRNA from 1 species
GUGAACUGUCAUGCGCGGCAGGCCUAACACAUCGCAAGUUCGAGACGGGUAAACAUAAUGAAGUAGCCUUGGCCUACAUUGUAGCUCGUACGAGCGCGCGAGACGGGUAGAGUAAUCGCUUGGGAGAAUCAUCGCCUUGCAGAGUGGGGGACAACAUGUGUGGAGAAACAGACUGCUAUAUACCGUAUAUAUGUCUACGAGACCAAAGGGGGNUUCGGCUCUCGCCUUUAUAUGGGCCCAUGUGAGAUUCGCUUGUUGGUGAGGUAAUGGCUCACCAGGGCGACGAUCCCUAGCUGGUUUGAGAGGAUGAUCAGCCACACUGGGACUGAGACACGGCCCAGACUCCUACGGGAGGCAGCAGUGGGGAAUAUUGCACAAUGGGCGCAAGCCUGAUGCAGCCAUGCCGCGUGUGUGAAGAACGCCUUCGGGUUGUAAAGCACUUUCAGUCAGGAGGAAAGGUUAGUAGUUAAUACCUGCUAGCUGUGACGUUACUGACAGAAGAAGCACCGGCUAACUCCGUGCCCAGCAGCCCGCUGGAUAACUAGCGGGAGGUGGCUUGACCGCAAGUCCGUUAUUACAUUUG